GGUCCGUUGGUCAAGGGGUUAAGACACCGCCUUUUCCGGCGGUAACACGGGUUCGAAUCCCGUACGGACUA
rnacentral:tRNA from 1 species